rnacentral:lncRNA from 1 species
UCAUAAGAAUUUUUUCUCCAGAAAAAAAUGAUAAUAUAUAUGGGCAUUGCUUGCAUUUCUAAUAUGAGGCUCUUGCACAUUGGUGGCUUAAAUAUUAAGAGCUGUGCUGCAAAUGGCAUUAUUUCAUUCUUUUUAUGACUGAUAUUUCCAUGUAUAUAUGUACCACAUAUUCUUUAUCCAUUCAUCUGUCAAUGGGCAUUUAGGUUGCUUCCAUGUUUUGGCUAGUAUAAAUAGUGCUUCUGUGAAUAAUGGGGUACAUGCACUUCUUUAAAUUAUAGUUUUCUCCAGAUAUAUGCCCAAGAGUAGGAUUGCAGGAUCAUAUGACACCUCUAUUUUUUAUUUUUUUAAGGAAGCUUCGUAUUGUUAUCCACAGUAGCUGCACUAGUUUACAUUCCCUCCAACAGUAUAGGAUAGUUCCUUUUUCUCCACACUCUCUCUAGCAUUUAUUAUUUAUAGACUUUUUGAUGGUGGCCAUUCUAACUGGUGUGAGGUGGUAUCUCAUUGCAGUUUUGAUUUGCAUUUCUCUACUAAUUAGCAAUGUGAAGCAUUUCUUCAUGUGCCCAUUGGCCAUUCAUAUGUCUUCUCUAAAGAAAUAUCUAUUUAUGUCUUCCGCCCAUUUUUUUGAUUGGGUUGUUUUCUUUUUUGACAUUGAGUUGUAUGAGCUGUUUGUAUAUUUUGAAAAUUAAGCCCUUGUCAGUUGCAAAUAUUUUCUCCCAUUCUGUAGGUUGGAAUAUUAUUCAGCCAUAAAAAAGAAUGAGAUAAUACCAUUAGUAGCAACAUGCAUGGACUUAAAGAUGAUCACACUAAGUGAAGUAUGACAGAGACAGAAAGUCAAGUAUCAUAUUGUUUAUAUGUGGAAUCUAAAAAAUAAAUAUACAAAUGAACUUAUUUACAAAACAGAAAUAGACCUGCAGACAUAGAAAAUAAAUGUACCGUUGCCAAAGUGGAAAGCCAGGGGAGGGAUAAAUUAGGAGGCUGAGAUUAACAUACAUCACACUACUGUAUGUAAAAUAGAUAACCGACAAGGAAUUAUAGCACUGGGAACUAUACUCAAUCCUUUGUAAUAACCUAUAAUAACCUGAAUCACUGUGCUGUACACCUGAAACCAGCACAAUACUGUAAAUCAACUAUACCUCAAUAAAACAAACAAACAAACAAACAAGCUGUGGGAUAGCAUAAUGAGGGUGGGAAAUAUACUCUUAGGAAAUGUCACUAGCUUAUUUUAACAUAUGUGUUAUUAUUACCAAAAAAGUACAAGAAUCGUAGAGGUGCAGUCAUUUUUCAUUGUGGUCGUCAAUAACACCCAGUGCUUUGGAGCAGAAUACUAUUAGGGCAUCCCACAGAAGCAGAGACUCAACACCUCCCAAAGUGCUUCAUGGCUCUGAAGUAGUAUUCCCACUAGAUGAUGGUGUCUCCUUAAGAUUCGCAGUAUUUCCAUAUCAUGGGCUAUGUAGGCAGAAACUUGGAACUAUAUUACAGACCAAUUGUGGAUGGAUGUUUUAAAAUUAGAUUUCUAACCUCUAUUAAUAAGACUUAAAAAAAGAAAUAAGGAUAUGAGCACAAAAUACAUUUUACAAAAUUGUUUAUUUUAUUUCAGUUAAGUUUUAUGUAAUGUUAAAUAUUAUUUUUCAGAAUGGCUUGAUGAACACUGAAAAAUUUGGUCCCAAAUUACUGUUGCAACACUCAGGUGUUUGAUGCAUUGGCUUUUAGAGCUGUGGUCACUCAAUGCUCUUUCUUUAAGUCUCUUAUUUUAUGUAAGAGAAAAUGGUGACCUAGAGAAAAAUAAAUGGUUUUUCUUCUCAUGAUUAUAAUACUAGUACCUGGAAAGUUGGCUUUGAAUAUAAAUCUUCCUUCUGGUUUCUUUAAAUAAGGGCUUCUUACCCUGUAAAGUCAUUUAUAUCCAGCCAGCAAAUGUCCUGUGUUUCUCUUUCUAAAACAUUAGCAGUAUGGAAACAGAAUAGAAGGGGGCAUUUAGCUUCAUUAUUAAACAUGGAAAAAACUAAUAAAAAAGUAUAUAUAAUUGAAUAUAAACUUGCCCAUGUAUUAUUGUUUCUGUAAAGUCACAUUAUUAAAAGUUUCUAGUUUGUAAUUUCAUCCUUGAUUUAUAUGCUAGGGCACUCUGAUCCUUUAAUGAGUUUUGUUGAUAUGUCUACUAUGUAUCCUUUGUAAAAAAUUAAAGAUAGUCCUUUGAAUUUUUUAUUUCUUCAACUUAACAUGCAUGAUUCUUAACUAUACAGCUGGGUGAAUGUUUUACAUAUGUCUAAACAUAUGUAAUCAUACUCAUGGCUACAUGUAAUCCUCUCUCAGAUCAGGAUGUAGAAAUUUCCAGCACCCCAGAAGAUUAUCUGAUUCCCUACAGAUGUCUACCACAAUGGAUUAAGUUUGCCAGAUUAAGUUUACUGUUCUAUUUAUAUGAAAUUAAAUUAAGUAGACUCACACAACCCAUAUACAUUUUUGUCUGGCUUAUGUUACUCAUCAGUUUGUCCAUGUUAUUUUUCAUACAUCAAUAAGCUGUUCUUUUUAUUGCGAUGUAGUGUUUUUAUGUGAAUAUAGCACAAUUUAUUUACUCAUUCUACACUUUUUGAUUAUUUCCAGUUGUCUUUUUCCGUGACUUUUAAAAUUUAGAUAUGGUGUCAAAAAAGGAAAGUCAGUUUUUCUCUCUGGUAGAUGAAAUAUGAAAAUAGAAUCACUUUAGUUAAAGCAUUAAAAAUAAUGAUUGCUGUUAUCUGCUUUAUAUAACUGAUUCAUGCAUAUUUGAACUACAGGGAACAAGGUCUCGAUACUACCAUUAUUAAUGGAAAUAUUUCCUGAAAAUAAGAAUUAGUGUGUAUUAUUCCAAGUAGUCGCUAAAGAAUUAUUACUAAAGUAUUCGAAUGUUUAACCAUCAUUCCUUUGCUUGUGUUAUUUAAUAUAUAUGUAACCAUAAUUAUAGCUUGGCCCACGUACACAUCUUUUUAAACUCAAUUAUCAAUUUUUUAAAAGUCCUUAUGAAUUGCUGGAAUUUUCCAGUGUAGAACAAAAUAAAUUAAGCCAUUGUCUUUGACAAAGAAUAAUUUGGAGUGAUUCUGAAUGUGUUUAAACUCAUAAUUUCAUAUAUGAACAAAAUAAGAUGCAAUAUUUUGACAUUUAGAAUAAAGAUUCCUUUGAAAGUCAUGGGAAUAGUUUUUCAGAGAUUUUUGUUACCAUUUUCCAUUAUUUUUGUUAUUGUUGCUCCACAGUUCCUAUGAUUCUGUAUUCAAAUUUAAGGUGAUUUACUCUACCAGGAAAGCAUGUAUGUUACUAAUAAAAAUUGAAAAGUUAUUUAUUAUUAUAAAAUAAAGGAAGAUUAACUGAUAAUUAGAUGUCAUUAGCAAACUCAGCUAUGGAGUUAUUUAUGAGCUUCCAUUGAGUACAUCCCCCAGUGCUGAUGAAUAUCCUUGUUACAUUGGCUAUAUUGAUGAAUCAUCUGGGAUUGUCAUUUGGUAUUAUUUACACUUGCUAAUCAGCAACUUGAAGUAAAAUAAAUAACAUUAAAGAAGUAUUUUAAAAUGUAGUUUACAAAGCCCUUUCACAUAAUAUACACAUCAAGGCUAGGAGGGAGAAGACAUCACACUCCCCAACCCCGAACAGUGAAAUAAUUAGUAUCCUAUCGUUAGCCAAAGACUGAUUUAUGACCUGAACUGGGAUUUUUUUUUUCCACUCUAAAUCUAUUAUGUCUUAUUAUAAGAAACUACAUUUCUGUUAAUAAUGGAACCCCAUUUAAGAGGUCCAGGGUGAACAAUUUACUACAAUUUUUCCAAAAUCUUUUUUAAAACUGAUUUAUUAUAAUACAAAAUUCCCUUUUAAUCUGGAAAUUUAUCAACACUAAAUAAUGCUUUGUUUUUACAGAUCUUUUAGGGGUUAUAUUUUAAAGACAUUAUAGCCCCUAAAAACAGUAGUACCACUUUCUAAUAUUUUUGUUUUUAUACAACCAGUCCAAAUUUGGCCAAAGUCAAUGAUGUUUUUUAUUAUUUUUGACAACCAUACAGUGCCUGAUAAUGAUUCCAUUUUUGACAUCAGCUGGCAGUAAGCUUCCCUCUCAGAUGAAUUCAUUGAUGACCUGUUCUCCAUUCAGACAUGUAAUGGACACUAGAAAAUUCCACUGGUGUGUUUCUGCUUAAUUAGAUGUAUUUGCAUCUAAUAGGAAGAGAAGAUCAACUUCUGGCAAUGAUUUUUUCCCCAUAUUUUAUUUUAGAUAUUAAAUACAUUUUCAACUGUCUACAAUGUCUGAAGGCCUCUGAAGAAUCUAAUGUAAACCUUUUUUUUUUUUUUUUUAAAUGACAGGGAUCUACUGUAUAGCACAGGGAACUAUGUUCAAUAUCCUGAGAUAAACCAUAUGGAAAAAUAUAUAUACACUGAAUCGCUUUUCUGCACUGCAGAAAUUAACACAAUGUGGUAAAUUAACUAUACUUAAAUUAAAAAAUAUGCUACUUUUUCAUACUACCAUGCUAUGUAUCUUUGGCUUUGCAAAAAUAUGAUUGACUUCAAAGUCCUGUUGUCUUUGAGUUCCCAUUGUGACCCAUUGGAAAAGAAAUCGACUAGGGACCAUGAGGUUGGGGGUUUGAUCCCUGGCCUCGUUUAGUGGAUUAAGGAUCCGGUGUUGCCACGAAAUGUGGUGUAGUCACAGACGCGGCUUGGAUCCAGCAUUGCUGUGCCUCUGGUGUAGGCUGGCAGCUACAGCUCCAAUUCGAUCCCUAGCCUGGGAAUUUCCAUAUGCUGUGGGUAUGGCCCUAAAAAGACAAAAAAAAACCCAACAAAGUACUGUCCUCUUUAACUCAAUAUGUCACCUUAUAGCAAUUGGCCUUUUACUGACCCAUGAAAAUAGAUGGAGUUAUUCUGAUCUCACUGUGGAGAAGGUCAGGUUCACAGGUUAGGUUUGAGAACAGCAGAAGGAAUCACCUUAGAGGAAGAAGUUGAUUUUUAAAAAGCAAAUGUUUAUUUACAUUAAGUUCAUCAGAAAUAGGUAGAGAUGAGGAUGAAACAACUGCAGAAUUUCUUCAGGAUAUUUUUAAAUCGCCUCCUCUUAGGUAUCCUUGUCUAAAUAGGUUAACUUUAUAGCCAUUUCCCCAUGAAGAAUGCAUCAGCUUUCCUCUAAACCACCCCUCCUUGUUUAUUCUUCAGUUACCACACGCCUAUUUUCUUGUUGUAAUAUUUAAGCAAUUUUAUCUUAAAUAUUUCAUAAUAUUUAGUUCAUCUGCCCUUAUUUCUGUCUUCUUGUAAUUCUGUUUGCUUUAAUAUAGCUGCUAUAAAAAGCAACCAUGUAUAAAUCUCCAGUUAUUUUUGUUGUGUAUACAAAGAUCUCCCAGAGAAAAGAGCAAUAAGUAUGGCUUUCUUAUUAACAGUAGUUUACUUUGAAACUGUAAUAUUUAUAUUCUGAAACCACUCUGUUCAUUUGUUAGUUUGCUAUAGACCAAGAAGCACUACAUUAAUAUGUUAUUUUCCACAGGAUUUUUUUGUUGCUGUUGUUAAAAGAAAGUGAGUUUAUAUUUAACUACAGUGGACAAAAGAAAAAUCUCAACAUGUUUUUAUUUUGUCUAGACAUAUUGUGAAGUAAUAAAGUACAAAAUUUGUAAUCAAUUAUAAAAUGUUUUAAAUGCACAGAACUUACUGUCUAUAAUAGCUGUUUUGCUGUAAUCAUCAUUAUAAUUUAUCAACAAGUCUUCUUUUGAAGGGAGGGGAUAUAUCUGAUUAACUUUGAUGUUUUUUCUUGUCUUGUUUGUAAGAAAUUAUAGCCUAUAGAAAACUAAAUGGCAAUUCUGGCUAAUAGAGACCACAGUGAUACCCAAAUUCAGUAGGAAAAUUGCUAUAUGUGGAAGACUCUCCUUCUGCCCUGUCAGAACUAGUUAUUCCUCAUUCAUUGUAGUUCCUAAUGUUCACUGAUAGGAAAUAAUUCCAUUCUGAUUCAUGACUAAUUUGUCAUUUGAGUUGUAUUAAAAAAUUCAAUAGGAGUUCCAUUGUGGCUCGGCUGGUUAAGAACCCGACUAGUAUCCAUGAGAAUUUGGGUUUGAUCCCUGGCCUCACUCAGUGGGUUAGGGAUCCGGCAUUUCUGCAAGCUUGUGGCAUAGGUCACAGGUGCACGACUCAGAUCCCACACUGCUGUGCUUGUGGUAUAGGCCGGCAGCUGCAGCUCUGAUUCACCCUUAGCCUGGGAACUUCC